GCCAUAGUGGCAUAGUGGUUUGAGUUUUGGACUAUAACUUUGGAGAUGAGGGUUUGAUUCCCUGCUCAGCCA